rnacentral:rRNA from 1 species
UACGUAGGACCCAAGCGUUAUCCGGAGUGACUGGGCGUAAAGAGUUGCGUAGGUGGUUUGUUAAGUGAAUAGUGAAAUCUGGCGGCUCAACCGUACAGGCUAUUAUUCAAACUGGCAAACUCGAGAAUGGUAGAGGUAACUGGAAUUUCUUGUGUAGGAGUGAAAUCCGUAGAUAUAAGAAGGAACACCAAUGGCGUAGGCAGGUUACUGGACCAUUUCUGACACUGAGGCACGAAAGCGUGGGGAGCGAACAGG